GACGUAGGGUGCGAGCGUUGUCCGGAUUUAUUGGGCGUAAAGAGCUCGUAGGCGGCUUGUCGCGUCGACCGUGAAAACUUGGGGCUCAACCCCAAGCCUGCGGUCGAUACGGGCAGGCUAGAGUUCGGUAGGGGAGACUGGAAUUCCUGGUGUAGCGGUGAAAUGCGCAGAUAUCAGGAGGAACACCGGUGGCGAAGGCGGGUCUCUGGGCAUUAACUGACGCUGAGGAGCGAAAGCAUGGGGAGCGAACAGG
rnacentral:rRNA from 1 species